rnacentral:ncRNA from 1 species
AGGUGAGUACAUCCUCUUGGUUUUCUCUUUCUUCAGCUGGUAUCUAGAGGUAAGUUCUUAUUUAGCAGACAUAUAAAAUCCCGCGGCUUAACUUCAUUAAGUUUGAUUGACCAAUUUGCUACAAUAAUAACUUGGGCUACACGCGCGCUACUCUAAAGGAGUCAGCGUGUACUACCCUGGCCCAAAGGCCAGAGUGGCCGCUGGACCAUUCUCGCCCUAGGAUUUGGGGCUUGCUAUUGUUCCCAGUAAGCACGAGUCAGAAGUGCGCGUUAUGUUCUGGUCCUUUGUACACACCUCCCGUCGCUGCUACCGAUUGCAUGAUAACCGCGGUCCUCGGAUAAGCGUUUAUUCUUUAUCAACUUUUUGGCAUACAUGUCCACUUGAAAGAUGACGAAACAUGAAAAUUUAGAGGAAGUAAAAGUUGUAUCAAGGUUUCUAUUGAUGAAAUACAAAUA